rnacentral:lncRNA from 10 species
UUAAUAGUGACAUGUGACUGGAUUCCAUCCAAUGGGAGUGCGGAGGAAAUGAUGGAUGCCACAUCACCACAUCAGAGCUGAAAUGGUUAAGAAAUGAAUGUGAUUUCUAAUAGAGAAGGCGGAAAUGAGUCUAAGACCAUAAGGCAUAUGAGCCACAAAAUGGAAGGAAAAUGGGUUCCUGGAACACUACAAGACUACAAAUAAAUACCUAAGGUGGAUUGUUAUCUCCCUUGUGAAGAAGGAUGUGUUUACUUCCCCCUCUGCCAUGAUUGGAAUAUGAAGAGCUCACAUUUUACACAGGACCAGAAUUUCUUCUCUCUAGUAUUUUCACUGGAGCAUCAUUGAGUUCUCCAACUCUGAAACAGCCUGCUUCAAGAACCACCAAAUCCACAGCCUGUAUGAAAGCUGCUUCUUCCAACCUCAGCAGUGUCAAAAGACUGGACACCAGCUGGAUUUGAGGUCCCAUCAGCUUUUGGGGACCUCUCCAGCCCACCGGCAUCAACACUAUUAUUAUUUUCAUUUUACCAUAAUGGAAAUGGAAGUGUAGAAAAAACAAGAAAAUUGUGUACCUAACUCUCCAUGGGAGCCAAUCAGUAAGCUUCCCCUCAGCCACGCAGGAUGGAAGACACAGCUCUUGGAUGCUAACAACCACUAGCUGCCCCGACUUCCUAAAGCCCAGAGGCUUGUGAGGGUUUUGCAGGAAGCAGACACCAUCACCAUCAAAGAUAUACCACACAGGUAAAUGCCUUCUGGGACAUCAUCUCCUCUGCAAGUGGUCAAAAUGGAUUCCACAACCUUACAAGGCUGUCCUUCACUCUUGAUCCAUCCAUGGAGACCUUCAGCAGAAUUUAGUGACACCUGAAUAUGGUGUGUAUUUCAUUCCAGGCAAUCAGCCACUCCCGAAACAACUACUAUUCUGAUUAAAAUCACCAUGGAUGACUUUGUCUGUUCUAGAAAUUCAUGCAAUUAAACAGUAUGUACUUUUUUGGGUCUGGCUUCUUUCACUAAAUAUAAUGUUUUCAGAUUCUUCCAUGUUAAGUUAUUUUCUCUCUUUUAUAUUUAAUAGAAUUCCAAUGUUUGAACCUGCCACAGAACAUUUAUCAUUUUACCUAUUGACUGAUAAUUUUGGCUUUUUUGCAUAAAAUUGCUGUAAACAUUCACGUACAGGAAGUUUUGCAGACAGACAUAUGCAUGUUAUUUCUCAUAAUCAAAAUCCUGAGGGGUAUUGUUGGGUCAUAUGCCAAAUAGGUAUUUGUUUGAAUUUUUUUAAGGUAACAACUUAUUUUCUGAAUUGAUGGUUCCGUUUUACACUUCUACAAGCAAUGUAUGAGAGUUUUAGCUGUUCUUUACCCUCACUAAUAAUUUCAGCUGUCAGACUUUAAAUUUCAGUUAUUCUAGUAGGUGUGUUGCAGUAUCCCAUCAUGGUUUUAGUUGGUAUUUUCUUGAUGAAUAAUGCCUGUAACUCAUUGGCCA